UUUUAUCCCAAAAAGGAACUCACUCAUUAGAUAGAAUGGAAAAGUGAAUGAUAACUGAGAAUCCAAAUUAUUCAAUUGAUUGAAACCCCACUCACUCAACAGCUGAACUGGGGAACCUCAUCUCUACCCGUUCCCGUCCUCGCCGGAGAUCCACCAUGGCCGGCAAUCCCGCCGCAACCCCUUCCUCCACCUCUUCUCUCCACAAUUUAACUUUCUCUCCCGAUUUCCCCUCCCGAAUCCCCCUUACCUCCGAUCAGCUCAACCACUGCAACAAAGCACUCGCUCUGUUGAAGGAUAAGCUCCUUAACCCUAACACCAUCUCUCAAGAGUUCUUUCACUUGCAGUCUAAUAGGACUACGCUCAGUGAGACCACCAGAAGAUGCAAUGUUGCUCUUAAUUCUGUUAAUAUCGGCAAAAAUCGAUACAAAGAUGUUAUACCAUUUGACAAGAACAGAGUCAUUCUUAAAUCGAGUUCAGAUUAUAGGUCUGAAGCACUGGGGUAUAUCAAUGCAAGCUUUAUCUCGACCUCUUCCACUGGAACUGUGUCAGAAUUUAUAGCCACACAAGGCCCACUGCCACACACUUAUGAGGAUUUCUGGGAAAUGAUUACCCAAUAUCACUGCCCUGCAAUUGUGAUGCUUACUAGGUUGGUCGACAAUUACAGGACGGUGAAGUGUGGAGAUUAUUUUCAAUCGGAGGAUAGACCUAGAGAAUUUGGUAAUAUCUCGCUUACAUGUAAAUGGGCAAAAACUACUGAAACUUCACUUGUGCUGCGUCAUUUGGAGGUGACCCAUAAAGAGGUAGAAAAUACACCAUUAUCUGUUUUGCAUAUUCAGUAUCCCGAGUGGCCUGACCAUGGAGUUCCAAAUGAUACUUUAGCUGUGCGUGAAAUUUUGAAAAGAUUGUACCAUUUACCACCAAACCUUGGCCCAAUAGUGGUGCACUGCAGGUAUCGGUAGAACUGGAACAUACUGCACAAUUCACAACACAAUUCAGAGAAUACUUGCUGGUGAUAUGUCUGCUGUAGAUAUUGCUAACACAGUAUCUGUGUUCAGGUCCCAGCGUAUUGGAAUGGUUCAGACCCAGGUAGUUGAAUUUCCUAAUUUAAUAAUUAAUUGUGUGAUUCAUGAAUGUAUCGAUUUUGCAUGAAAUGCCAGUAAUAUAGUUGGACCACAUAUGAAUUAAGUUCCAUUUCUAAACUAAAUCUGAAGGAAAGAGGAACAGGAAUGAUAAGGUACCCUAUGUUGUUUGAUAGCAAAGAAGGCAGAUUGUUGCAAGGAACUAGGUUAGAUAGUUUAGCAAGGAUGCAAUUACAAAUUAAAGGUUGAAGGAACUCUGUUCUCCUUCGGUUGUAAACUUACCAAUCCAUUUCUUCUGGUUAAAAUAGAAGAAAUAUUUAUUACUCAGAAGGGAAGCUCUUACUACUAAUUCAUGUUUCCAAAGUAAGUAAAAAGCCAAUAAGCUUUUAGUUGUUUAAAGGAACUGGGCUAUAUAUUUAGGGAAGGAUGUCUGCAAAAUUUACUAUCCUGAUUUGGAGCAAAAUUGUCAGAAUCGCGAGUUUGCUUUAAAUCGACAAGAGAUCAUGUUAUUACCAAACUAUCAUGCAUUUUCAACUAAAAAAAGUUAUCAAAUUAUAGUUUGUCUCUUGAACCCAAUAGGCAAUAGUCCUAAUGCAAAUAAUAUAUCAUGAGUUUUUCUUUUAAUCUUUGAGCUUGUGGAUAUAGUAAAUUUCCUUAUGUGCAAAUUUGUUAAGGAAGUAUAAAGACAGUUAGUCCAUUAGUUAAUUAUAUGUGAUGAUCACUUAGAGUGAUAAAUAGGGAGGAUGAGGAUGGAGGCAAUUAUUUGGUGAAUUUGGUGGUCUGUGAAGGGGACACACUGUUAGAGGAGAAUCUGCUUCUUAAUCAUUCAUUGAAUAUAAUUGUUCUUAACAAAAUUACACAACCUCGUGUCUUGUUUCAUAAAUUACUGACCUUUUGAAUUUUUCAUGAGAUAUAUAUCCCCUCUCUUUAAUAGACAUUUAUAUACCCCUUCCUUAGUCCUUAUGGAUGAAAACCUAAAGAAAGGGAAUACGUUUUUUAAAACCAGUGGUGUAGAUAAUGAUCUCUAGUUAGUUUUCUGUUGUACUUAGCCAGUGUGACAGCUGUCUAGGCACAUGUCAAAAUAGAGCACCAGAUCAGCUUUACGGCCUCGGAGUUGGUUAGAUCUGAGUGCAGGUUAAGCCAAUGCUGAGUGUAGGACAAGACUCAAAUUCCCAGAAUCUGUCAAAGCAGAUCAGAAAUUGUAAUACACAAUUCCAAUAUAUGAAAAAUAUGAAAAAAUAGUUUCUAAAUAACAAAACAAUCCAUGAAUUAUUUUUUUGGUUACUUUUUAUGUCUUUUUUUGGUUACAAAUACAAGGCAAAAUUGCAUCCAUUAAUGACUCUGCGCAUAGUGAUGAAUUAUUUUUGUUUGGUUACUUUAUUUCUUUGUGUAACCAAAAAAAUCCAUGAAUUAGUUUCUCCAUACUGUAUCAUAAGGCCACAUUCUAUGACUCCCGCCUUCUUGCCAGCCUGCCUUUUGGUUGGAGGCCUCAGUUAACCACCCACUUGGAAUCGAUCCCGUGCAGGAGGAGCAUACUUUCCUCCCCUGUGCCUGUAUUUAUUCCGUUCACCAAAAUUUAUGGUUCUUAUUAUUAUUAAUUUAUUACCAUGAUGGUUAUUGUAAUCUGAUAUUUCCUCGUAUAUAAAUUCUCUUUGAACUUUUUGGUGUCUCUUUCUACAACUAUCAGGAUCAAUACGUUUAUUGCUAUGAAGCUAUCAUAGAUGAACUGGAAGACCUUGUAUCUCAUCAGUAAUGAGAGUAGAAGGUGCUAAAUCAAAGGAUGCUAAGCUGCUUGCCUCAUUCUGAAGCCAACUUUCAAUUUUUCUAAUUGGGUCCUGCAAUGCUAUGUAUCCAAUAGCUGACUCUGGAGCAUUAGCAUUAUGGGGAUUUUAUGAUUUUCACUGAACUGAGUUUACUAGAUACCUUGUCCGUGCAUUCACACGGGUCAUAUGAUGUGACAUCAAUGAAUUGUGUAUUUGUUAAAACAUUUUUUUUUUAAUAGAUUUAUCACAUAUUACUUCA